AGCAGUCGCCACGGGAAUACAGAGGGUGCGAGCGUUAAUCGGAUUUACUGGGCGUAAAGCGUGCGUAGGCGGCUUCUUAAGUCGGAUGUGAAAUCCCUGAGCUUAACUUAGGAAUUGCAUUCGAUACUGGGAAGCUAGAGUAUGGGAGAGGAUGGUAGAAUUCCAGGUGUAGCGGUGAAAUGCGUAGAGAUCUGGAGGAAUACCGAUGGCGAAGGCAGCCAUCUGGCCUAAUACUGACGCUGAGGUACGAAAGCAUGGGGAGCAAACAGGAUUAGAUACCCGAGUAGUCCCUGUCUCUUAUAC
rnacentral:rRNA from 1 species